CGAUGAACCACAUUCGGUGGGGAUUAGUGGCGAACGGGUGAGUAACACGUGGGCAAUCUGCCCUGCACUCUGGGACAAGCCCUGGAAACGGGGUCUAAUACCGGAUACAACCACUAGGGGCAUCUCUUGGUGGUGGAAAGCUCCGGCGGUGCAGGAUGAGCCCGCGGCCUAUCAGCUUGUUGGUGAGGUAAUGGCUCACCAAGGCGACGACGGGUAGCCGGCCUGAGAGGGCGACCGGCCACACUGGGACUGAGACACGGCCCAGACUCCUACGGGAGGCAGCAGUGGGGAAUAUUGCACAAUGGGCGAAAGCCUGAUGCAGCGACGCCGCGUGAGGGAUGACGGCCUUCGGGUUGUAAACCUCUUUCAGCAGGGAAGAAGCGAAAGUGACGGUACCUGCAGAAGAAGCGCCGGCUAACUACGUGCCAGCAGCCGCGGUAAUACGUAGGGCGCGAGCGUUGUCCGGAAUUAUUGGGCGUAAAGAGCUCGUAGGCGGCUUGUCGCGUCGGUUGUGAAAGCCCGGGGCUUAACCCCGGGUCUGCAGUCGAUACGGGCAGGCUAGAGUUCGGUAGGGGAGAUCGGAAUUCCUGGUGUAGCGGUGAAAUGCGCAGAUAUCAGGAGGAACACCGGUGGCGAAGGCGGAUCUCUGGGCCGAUACUGACGCUGAGGAGCGAAAGCGUGGGGAGCGAACAGGAUUAGAUACCCUGGUAGUCCACGCCGUAAACGGUGGGCACUAGGUGUGGGCAACAUUCCACGUUGUCCGUGCCGCAGCUAACGCAUUAAGUGCCCCGCCUGGGGAGUACGGCC
rnacentral:rRNA from 1 species